rnacentral:rRNA from 1 species
GAUGAACGCUGGCGGCGUGCUUAACACAUGCAAGUCGAACGGAAAGGCUCCUGCUUGCAGGGGUACUCGAGUGGCGAACGGGUGAGUAACACGUGGGUGAUCUGCCCUGCACUUCGGGAUAAGCCUGGGAAACUGGGUCUAAUACCGGAUAGGACGAUGGGUUGGAUGCCAUUGUGGAUAGUUUUUUGGUGGGGGAUGAGCUCGCGGCCUAUCAGCUUGUUGGUGGGGUAAUGGCCUACCAAGGCGUCGACGGGUAGCCGGCCUGAGAGGGUGUCCGGCCACAUUGGGCCUGAGAAACGGCCCAAACUCCUACGGGAGGCAGCAGUGGGGAAUAUUGCCCAAUGGGCGCAAGCCUGAUGCAGCGACGCGGCGUGGGGGAUGCCGGCCUUCGGGUUGUAAACUCCUUUCGCUAGGGACGAAGCGCAAGUGACGGUACCUGGAGAAGAAGCACCGGCUAACUACGUG